UACGUAGGGGGCAAGCGUUGUCCGGAUUUAUUGGGCGUAAAGAGCGUGUAGGCGGCUUUACAGGUCCGUUGUGAAAACUCGAUGCUCAACCUCGAGACGCCGGUGGAAACCGUAAAGCUAGAGUCCGGAAGAGGAGAGUGGAAUUCCUGGUGUAGCGGUGAAAUGCGCAGAUAUCAGGAGGAACACCCGUGGCGAAAGCGGCUCUCUGGGACGGUACUGACGCUGAGACGCGAAAGCGUGGGGAGCAAACAGG
rnacentral:rRNA from 1 species